rnacentral:lncRNA from 1 species
UCUCUCCUGUCCUAUUAGGGUCCUGUUUGCAUCCAACCAGUUGUUUCCAAGAGCUAGGCUUUGAUACUUAAAAUAAGAACCACUAUGGGUAUUUCUAGUUAUAGUUUCUUUCUGUUUUUAUUUGUUGUCAUAAUCCCAACCCUAGAAGCUCAUAUCGCUGAGUAUGACGAGUACUGGACGGCACGAGAAUUGGAAGCCAUUGAGAACCUGGACAAGGCCUAUCACUCCAACCCGGAGGAGGUGGUCCGCCAUUACAAUGACCACUUCUCUAGGACCAUGCUCGAGUUUUAUAUCACCAAAAGGGUGUUGGCAGAAUCAAAAAAGGGUCCCUGUGAGGUUACCAACCACGUUGACAGUUGCUGGCGAUGUGAUCCUGACUGGGAAAAGAAUAGGAAGAAGUUGGCCAACUGUGCCCCUGGAUUUGCUCGAGGUACUACCGGUGGAAAGGAUGGUGAGUUUUACGUGGUCACUGACCCUAUUGAUAAUGCUGCUGACCCCAAGCCUGGAACUCUGCGUCAUGCUGUCACCCAAACUGGACCACUUUGGAUCACUUUCAAAGGGUCCAUGACCAUCAAGCUGCAACAGGAGCUCAUUGUUACAAGUGAUAAGACCAUUGAUGCGAGGGGAGCCAAUGUGGAAAUUUGUAAUGGUGCUGGUAUCACUAUCCAAUUUGUGAAGAAUAUCAUUAUCCAUGGCCUUCAAAUCCAUCACAUUAUUCCCGCCAAGGGUGGCAAGAUCAAGGAUGGUGAAAACCACCAUGGGUUACGGGGUGACAGCGACGGAGACGGGGUGUCUAUUUUUGGAUCAACCAAUGUUUGGCUUGACCAUCUUGCCCUUCACCAUUGCGCCGAUGGCCUUAUCGAUGUCGUUCAAGGAUCAACUGCCGUUACCGUUUCUAACUGCCACUUCACUGACCAUAACGAUGUAAGCUUACUUUCCUUUCAAUUUUAAACUACGCACGAUGAGGAAUUUUUUGAUUGACAAAAAUAAUACAAUUGAAAUGAAAAAAAUUACAGGUGAUGUUGUUUGGAGCAAGCGACUCUUACAGUGCCGACAAGAAGAUGCAGGUCACUGUUGCUUUGAACCACUUCGGUAAAGGAUUGGUAGAGAGGAUGCCUAGGUGCCGAUUUGGUUUUAUUCAUGUCGUCAACAAUGACUACAAUCACUGGUUCCUGUAUGCCAUUGGCGGCACCAGCAACCCUACAAUUAUCAGCCAGGGAAAUAGGUAUUCAGCGCCAGGCUUUGGGGCUAAAGAGGUGACCUGUAGGGGCCUCUUAAAGCCGGGACAGUGGAAGAAUUGGAAUUGGGUAUCACAAGGUGACCACUUCGAGAACGGUGCCUUCUUUACACCAUCAGGUAAUCCAAGUGCCAGCAAGCAAUUUGGCGCCGACAAAAUGAUGCCUUUCAAACCUGGUCAAAUGGUCCCCGAGCUCACAAAGUAUGCCGGACCACUAAGCUGCACAAUCGGCCGUCCUUGCUAAAAAUGCUAUUUUUAUAUGCAUUUGUCCUCCCUUUUUUACGUACAAUAUUUGAUACCCAAGCAUAGUACAUUUGGUAUCUUUUCUGAAUGAUUGUCAGUAAAUUUUCUUUUAUGCGAUCCCACCCUAUUCUCUUCUUCUCUCCUAGUAAUAGAUAAUCACAAUUUUUUUCUCACGCGUGACUGUGGAAAUCAUAAAUUUAGAACAUAAAUGUUUGUUUGAAAAUAACAUAUAAUGAAUAAUGAAAUGUGUGGUUUGAAAUAAAGUAACAAUAAUAACAUUGAUUAUCAUGGUGUUUUCAUCAAUCUUUAGUUGGUGUAGGCACCAAAUCAAUCAAAUACAUUAAUCUAACAUAUCUAGUAUAUAUAUUCUAUUGCAAGGUUUUUUUGGAUUUGUGGAAACCUUCAGUUUGAAGUGAGUUUAGAAUUCGCUAUGCGUCACCAAUCAUUUCAUGACAGCAAUGGAAAUUAAUGAAAUAAAAUAUUUGGUUAGAACUAAAGUUGCGUAAUUAAUUAAAAAUUUUAACAAUCGCGAGACCAUUUAGUUUCUAUAAAUUUUGCAUGUCCCAACUUACAUAUUCGGGUAAUUAGUCAUUUGUCAAAACACAUCAAAGUGAGAAAAGAAAGAAACAAGAAUCAUGGUCAUUCCUCAUAUAGUUAUAUUCGUAAUAAUGCAAUCGCAACGGUGAUUCCACCAGGUGUUCUUGCAUCACCAAGAACUAAAUUGAUUUUCUAGAACAAGAUUUAUAAUGGAGACAUCAAGUAUGUAUUUAAGGUGGUGUAUGAGUUAGAUUUCUUUAAGACUCAGCGGGGGUCGGGGAGCCGCCCAAGACAUUGCUUUUACCAGUAUAAAGUCAAAUACCGAAGCAAAAAAACUUGCAAAGCCGAGAGGACAUAGGAUUAAUAAUUCAGCACCUAUGUUUUGAGUUGCUCCAUAGUUGACGCGUGGUAUCAGCUUAGUAAGGGCUUAAAUAAUCGUAUAGAUAUUUAUAAUUGAUGGACAUAAUAAAGUAUGCUUAACAAAUUUGAAAAUCAAAAAAGAAAAUCAAUGUCUUGGUACAGUGUUAAAUUUAUGGUUUUACUAGCAUAAUAAUUGAUUUGGGUUCAAAUCCCUUCGACAACAUAUUUUAUAUUCUUUUAAAACAAUAAGAAUUAAAAUAACCUUCAAUAAUAUAACUUAUUUUAAACAUGACAGGAAUGUAUUUCUAAUUUCCGUAAUAGAGUCGAUGCUCGAUCGACUCAUGUCACCGAAUUAGUUAAGGACUUCAAUAAAUGUUAGUAUAGAUUGUAACAAUAAUGAAAUAUGCAUUAAAAAUCACCACAGAGGUUCAAUAUACACUCGAAUCUCUGUACUCUUUUAGACUUUUAAAAUUUGAAUACAUAGUGCUUUUAUAUUCAAAGGUCCAAGUAAUAAAUUAGAGUCCAAUUCAUAUCACAUAUUCAGAUUUGAGAGAAAUAAAUAAACUCUCUUACCAAUUGAACUUUUAUUUUUUAAAUCAACCAAGUGCAAGGAUUAAAAUCUUGAAAUUGAAAGGAGAGAGGUUUCAUCUGGAAAUGUUGAAGAGUAAAGGGAUUGGAGGAUAAUUAGAGAUUUUUUUUGUAAUUUCUGAAAUUAGACGUUUAGAAUGGUCUAAAAAAUGCAAGAAAACCUCAACUGUUUCUAUCCAAAAAAAAGGAAACAAAAUCCAACCAUUUUUUACGCACUUGAAACACUAGUAGCCAAGUGUGUUUUGUAAAUUUGGAAAUUUUCAUGAAUCCCGGUGUACUAUAAAUAGUGACAUAAUGAUGGUGUUCCAAGCAAAUCAUGCUCGAGUUCAAGUUUUUGGUGCCGUAGCUUGUCUCUCCUGUCCUAUUAGGGUCCUGUUUGCAUCCAACCAGUUGUUUCCAAGAGCUAGGCUUUGAUACUUAAAAUAAGAACCACUAUGGGUAUUUCUAGUUAUAGUUUCUUUCUGUUUUUAUUUGUUGUCAUAAUCCCAACCCUAGAAGCUCAUAUCGCUGAGUAUGACGAGUACUGGACGGCACGAGAAUUGGAAGCCAUUGAGAACCUGGACAAGGCCUAUCACUCCAACCCGGAGGAGGUGGUCCGCCAUUACAAUGACCACUUCUCUAGGACCAUGCUCGAGUUUUAUAUCACCAAAAGGGUGUUGGCAGAAUCAAAAAAGGGUCCCUGUGAGGUUACCAACCACGUUGACAGUUGCUGGCGAUGUGAUCCUGACUGGGAAAAGAAUAGGAAGAAGUUGGCCAACUGUGCCCCUGGAUUUGCUCGAGGUACUACCGGUGGAAAGGAUGGUGAGUUUUACGUGGUCACUGACCCUAUUGAUAAUGCUGCUGACCCCAAGCCUGGAACUCUGCGUCAUGCUGUCACCCAAACUGGACCACUUUGGAUCACUUUCAAAGGGUCCAUGACCAUCAAGCUGCAACAGGAGCUCAUUGUUACAAGUGAUAAGACCAUUGAUGCGAGGGGAGCCAAUGUGGAAAUUUGUAAUGGUGCUGGUAUCACUAUCCAAUUUGUGAAGAAUAUCAUUAUCCAUGGCCUUCAAAUCCAUCACAUUAUUCCCGCCAAGGGUGGCAAGAUCAAGGAUGGUGAAAACCACCAUGGGUUACGGGGUGACAGCGACGGAGACGGGGUGUCUAUUUUUGGAUCAACCAAUGUUUGGCUUGACCAUCUUGCCCUUCACCAUUGCGCCGAUGGCCUUAUCGAUGUCGUUCAAGGAUCAACUGCCGUUACCGUUUCUAACUGCCACUUCACUGACCAUAACGAUGUAAGCUUACUUUCCUUUCAAUUUUAAACUACGCACGAUGAGGAAUUUUUUGAUUGACAAAAAUAAUACAAUUGAAAUGAAAAAAAUUACAGGUGAUGUUGUUUGGAGCAAGCGACUCUUACAGUGCCGACAAGAAGAUGCAGGUCACUGUUGCUUUGAACCACUUCGGUAAAGGAUUGGUAGAGAGGAUGCCUAGGUGCCGAUUUGGUUUUAUUCAUGUCGUCAACAAUGACUACAAUCACUGGUUCCUGUAUGCCAUUGGCGGCACCAGCAACCCUACAAUUAUCAGCCAGGGAAAUAGGUAUUCAGCGCCAGGCUUUGGGGCUAAAGAGGUGACCUGUAGGGGCCUCUUAAAGCCGGGACAGUGGAAGAAUUGGAAUUGGGUAUCACAAGGUGACCACUUCGAGAACGGUGCCUUCUUUACACCAUCAGGUAAUCCAAGUGCCAGCAAGCAAUUUGGCGCCGACAAAAUGAUGCCUUUCAAACCUGGUCAAAUGGUCCCCGAGCUCACAAAGUAUGCCGGACCACUAAGCUGCACAAUCGGCCGUCCUUGCUAAAAAUGCUAUUUUUAUAUGCAUUUGUCCUCCCUUUUUUACGUACAAUAUUUGAUACCCAAGCAUAGUACAUUUGGUAUCUUUUCUGAAUGAUUGUCAGUAAAUUUUCUUUUAUGCGAUCCCACCCUAUUCUCUUCUUCUCUCCUAGUAAUAGAUAAUCACAAUUUUUUUCUCACGCGUGACUGUGGAAAUCAUAAAUUUAGAACAUAAAUGUUUGUUUGAAAAUAACAUAUAAUGAAUAAUGAAAUGUGUGGUUUGAAAUAAAGUAACAAUAAUAACAUUGAUUAUCAUGGUGUUUUCAUCAAUCUUUAGUUGGUGUAGGCACCAAAUCAAUCAAAUACAUUAAUCUAACAUAUCUAGUAUAUAUUCUAUUGCAAGGUUAUUUUGGAUUUGUGGAAACCUUCAGUUUGAAGUGAGUUUAGAAUUCGCUAUGCGUCACCAAUCAUUUCAUGACAGCAAUGGAAAUUAAUGAAAUAAAAUAUUUGGUUAGAACUAAAGUUGCGUAAUUAAUUAAAAAUUUUAACAAUCGCGAGACCAUUUAGUUUCUAUAAAUUUUGCAUGUCCCAACUUACAUAUUCGGGUAAUUAGUCAUUUGUCAAAACACAUCAAAGUGAGAAAAGAAAGAAACAAGAAUCAUGGUCAUUCCUCUAUAGUUAUAUUCGUAAUAAUGCAAUCGCAACGGUGAUUCCACCAGGUGUUCUUGCAUCACCAAGAACUAAAUUGAUUUUCUAGAACAAGAUUUAUAAUGGAGACAUCAAGUAUGUAUUUAAGGUGGUGUAUGAGUUAGAUUUCUUUAAGACUCAGCGGGGGUCGGGGAGCCGCCCAAGACAUUGCUUUUACCAGUAUAAAGUCAAAUACCGAAGCAAAAAAACUUGCAAAGCCGAGAGGACAUAGGAUUAAUAAUUCAGCACCUAUGUUUUGAGUUGCUCCAUAGUUGACGCGUGGUAUCAGCUUAGUAAGGGCUUAAAUAAUCGUAUAGAUAUUUAUAAUUGAUGGACAUAAUAAAGUAUGCUUAACAAAUUUGAAAAUCAAAAAAGAAAAUCAAUGUCUUGGUACAGUGUUAAAUUUAUGGUUUUACUAGCAUAAUAAUUGAUUUGGGUUCAAAUCCCUUCGACAACAUAUUUUAUAUUCUUUUAAAACAAUAAGAAUUAAAAUAACCUUCAAUAAUAUAACUUAUUUUAAACAUGACAGGAAUGUAUUUCUAAUUUCCGUAAUAGAGUCGAUGCUCGAUCGACUCAUGUCACCGAAUUAGUUAAGGACUUCAAUAAAUGUUAGUAUAGAUUGUAACAAUAAUGAAAUAUGCAUUAAAAAUCACCACAGAGGUUCAAUAUACACUCGAAUCUCUGUACUCUUUUAGACUUUUAAAAUUUGAAUACAUAGUGCUUUUAUAUUCAAAGGUCCAAGUAAUAAAUUAGAGUCCAAUUCAUAUCACAUAUUCAGAUUUGAGAGAAAUAAAUAAACUCUCUUACCAAUUGAACUUUUAUUUUUUAAAUCAACCAAGUGCAAGGAUUAAAAUCUUGAAAUUGAAAGGAGAGAGGUUUCAUCUGGAAAUGUUGAAGAGUAAAGGGAUUGGAGGAUAAUUAGAGAUUUUUUUUUGUAAUUUCUGAAAUUAGACGUUUAGAAUGGUCUAAAAAAUACAAGAAAACCUCAACUGUUUCUAUCCAAAAAAAAGGAAACAAAAUCCAACCAUUUUUUACGCACUUGAAACACUAGUAGCCAAGUGUGUUUUGUAAAUUUGGAAAUUUUCAUGAAUCCCGGUGUACUAUAAAUAGUGACAUAAUGAUGGUGUUCCAAGCAAAUCAUGCUCGAGUUCAAGUUUUUGGUGCCGUAGCUUGUCUCUCCUGUCCUAUUAGGGUCCUGUUUGCAUCCAACCAGUUGUUUCCAAGAGCUAGGCUUUGAUACUUAAAAUAAGAACCACUAUGGGUAUUUCUAGUUAUAGUUUCUUUCUGUUUUUAUUUGUUGUCAUAAUCCCAAACCUAGAAGCUCAUAUCGCUGAGUAUGACGAGUACUGGACGGCACGAGAAUUGGAAGCCAUUGAGAACCUGGACAAGGCCUAUCACUCCAACCCGGAGGAGGUGGUCCGCCAUUACAAUGACCACUUCUCUAGGACCAUGCUCGAGUUUUAUAUCACCAAAAGGGUGU